CAUUACUUUAAAUUGAUAUUCUUUAAUUGGAACGGUGUAGAGAAGAUUAGCAUGGUUCCUAUGCAAGAAGGACAUGCACAAAUCGAGAAAUUGUUCAAAAAAUU